GCCAAGGGAAGUGCAAGCAAUUGCUGGAAACUCUGGGCUGAAAUCUCAUCUAUGCUGUCAUCAUUGUGCUGCAUCACCCUCCUGCAAGCGGCUGUCCUGAGAGAGUGGUCCUGGGGCUCAGCAAGUGGUCCGGGGCUCAGCAAAUUUUCCAACCCAGGCCGGGGGAGAAGAACAGCCAGCGCUCCUGACAGGUGGUAGGUCCUGGAUGAGGAAAUAGACGCACCACAUUCCACGGCAGGAGCACACCUGUGCAGUUAGCAGGAUGAGCAGUUUCCGGCCCUCGCUUCACCCCAGACAAGGCUGGAGACAGAAGAUUCAGUUGGAGGAGGGGAGGACUUACAAAAGCUCAGUGAGGAAGACGAAAUGCAAAAAGUUUAUUUGGGUGCAAAACAUUCUGAGAUCUGUGCACACAAGAGGUCUUCAAAAAGUUCAUGGAAUAUGCAUGUUAAGAAGAAAACUAUGAAAUGUUUUGCAGCAAAAUAAAGCUAAUUUAAGUCUCUUUCCAGUUGUCCAUAGACUGUUGAAGUUCUCGCAUAGACUGCAGCUGCUGUGGCGUCUCUGUGGGACUCUGCUUGUCCCUUCCAUCUGUUGUAGCCCACGACUUCCAGGUCUGCUGGUUCUAUGGGCCUGGGAGAGGGGGCUCCGGCGGCUUCAGCUGAGGUGGGGUGGGACUGCCACACAGGCUUUCUCCAGAGGGAGAUGAACCAUGCUCAUUACAGGCUGCCCUUCUUGAAGCCCCCGCAGCCCCUGGGAGGCAGAAGCCCUUCCUCCCAAGGCUCCCCAGGCUGCCCCAGAAGGGAGCAGUGCUGCUUUUGCAACUGCAGUGGCAACCAUCCAGACAUUGCAGCCCCAGGGAGACAGCCUGCUGGCCAAGUAAGUGGAGGAAGCAAGUCAGGCUUCUCGACCUUGCAGCUCAUUUAUCCCAAGCACCAAAUGUCCAACUACUCAACAGUGACCCAGGGAAUUCUGACAGCAGGUGUAUGGGAAGUGACCCGCUCAGGAGGAAGGCCGAGCCAAGAGGAAGUCUUCAGGGAGCAGCUGCUAUUCCAUGAGCAUCGCAGAGGGCAAGCUAAAACCACUGCUGUCCAGGAACAAGGAGCUGGCUUAGAUUCUGGCUCCAUCAGUCACUAG
rnacentral:lncRNA from 1 species